AUUGAACGCUGGCGGCACGCCUUACACAUGCAAGUCGAACGGCAGCGGACCUUCGGGUGCCGGCGAGUGGCGAACGGGUGAGUAAUGCAUCGGAACGUGCCAUUGAGUGGGGGAUAACGUAGCGAAAGUUGCGCUAAUACCGCAUAUUCUGUGAGCAGGAAAGCAGGGGACCGCAAGGCCUUGCGCUCUUUGAGCGGCCGAUGUCAGAUUAGCUAGUUGGUGAGGUAACCGGCUUACCAAGGCGACGAUCUGUAGCGGGUCUGAGAGGAUGAUCCGCCACACUGGAACUGAGACACGGUCCAGACUCCUACGGGAGGCAGCAGUGGGAAUUUUGGACAAUGGGGGCAACCCGUGAUCCAGCCAUGCCGCGUGAGUGAAGAG
rnacentral:rRNA from 1 species